GCAGAACUCACCCCAACCACGCCUCGUAAACACCCAUUUCCUGGAAAAUCCUUGUAUUUAAGACGGCUCUCAGUCUUGAUCUCCAGCAGACACUGAAGCUGUAAGCACACGACAUACUCCAGCCCUAACUAAAAUACAGUUGUGAGACAUACAGUACUUUUUGGUCCCAGAAUAUUAUAAUAAUGGGUAGAGAUAAAAUGAAGUCCACAGCUAGAGUCCACAAUUUUGCUUAUCAAUUAUGGUUCAGCCUAAGACGUAAACAAAAAGAAAAUGAAACUACAGAUGGAAAUGAUGGAAAAGCACCCACAGCAAAGAAAACCCCUCCCCAAGUGCACAUGAAUUUGAAAAAUGACAAGAGUUAGUCAAGUUAUACAUUCUGAUGAUCUGAACACUGUACCAACAACAGGAAUUCUGUAUUUUUAUAACUUGGACAUUUGCUGGAAGAUCAUUAUGUAACCAGCCCGUGGCGGUAAGGAUGGGUAUCUUCGCAUUAGGGUCUUUGGCAAGUCUACCCCUACGGGCAUCAUAUGUUAAAACUAGUGCAUAUGGUACAGAAUGAGAUUCUGACUGGUUACUAUGGGCAAUUUUUCAUAGAUGAAAUGAUUUUAUCUGUAUAUCUGUAAUGAUAUUUCAUUCUUGUAUAUAUGCUGACUUUUUUUUAGAAAUCAAAAAAUUGACAACUACAAUUAGGAUGAUAAAUGUAUAGGCUGACAUGUUUACUUUGACUUGAUAUUUUUACACUUUCUAUUCUGUACUGUAAAGGACUUUUGUAUAUUAUAUUUUAAUAAAUGCAUAUACAAAAGUAGGAAUCA